AAUUAAAGCUCAGUUGGUUAGAGCGUGGUGCUGAUAACAUUAAGGUUGCAGGUUCAAUCCCCAUAAGGGACA